UACGGAGGGGGCAAGCGUUGUUCGGAAUUAUUGGGCGUAAAGGGCAUGUAGGUGGUUUGGUUAGUUAAAGGUGAAAUGCCAGGGCUUAACCCUGGAGCUGCUUUUAAUACUGCCAGACUGGAGUCCGGGAGAGGAUAGCGGAAUUCCUAGUGUAGAGGUGAAAUUCGUAGAUAUUAGGAGGAACACCAGUGGCGAAGGCGGCUAUCUGGUCCGGUACUGACACUGAGGUGCGAAAGCG
rnacentral:rRNA from 1 species